rnacentral:rRNA from 1 species
UAAUUGAAGAGUUUGAUCAUGGCUCAGAUUGAACGCUGGCGGCAGGCCUAACACAUGCAAGUCGAGCGGCAGCGGGAAGUAGCUUGCUACUUUGCCGGCGAGCGGCGGACGGGUGAGUAAUGUCUGGGAAACUGCCUGAUGGAGGGGGAUAACUACUGGAAACGGUAGCUAAUACCGCAUGACCUCGCAAGAGCAAAGUGGGGGACCUUCGGGCCUCACGCCAUCGGAUGUGCCCAGAUGGGAUUAGCUAGUAGGUGAGGUAAUGGCUCACCUAGGCGACGAUCCCUAGCUGGUCUGAGAGGAUGACCAGCCACA